rnacentral:lncRNA from 1 species
GAGGCAUCAUAAUCAUGUUCAUUAAAUUCUUUCCUUGUCAGACUGUUACUGAUCUCAAAACCAGUGAAAAUUGCAAGUAGCUUUUAGUUUCUAGUAGUACUAUUUUGAUAAGAUGUGUAAUUUUUCGUCAUUUCUUUUGAUGUUCUGUCAUAAUCAGUCAGACUAUUUCACCAAGAUGUUUUCAAAUUCUCCUAGUACUUCAAAGUGCUCUUUUUUCAAUAAUAAUCUGAAAUACACAAAAUCAACAGGUUAGUAACUUCAUAAUGUACAAACUUUAACAUGUCAGAUUAAUAUGAUUAAGAAAAUGAUGUGCAGCGCAGCCUUGUUAUUUGACUGACCAGUUGGUGCAUGUUUGGACACAAUAUUCAAGCUUGAUAGACUGUCUGUAUUUGGAUUUUGUUGAAAAUUUUGAGGAGAAAAAAAUCCCCCUCCCCCAAUUUUUUUCAACCCCCUUUCAGUAAUUACCCCAAAACUUAAUCCCAUCCUUUUCCUUUGUGGUAUGGUACUUUGCAGUACAAUUUUAAAGAAAUCCAUACACUUAAACACAAAAUAUUGUCUGGAAAUUAGAAAAAUGCUUGUUUUUGACCCCCUAUUUCCUGAACGUUUGAGGCAAUUACCCCUUUAAACAAUUCCAGUCUACCCUUUGUGAUAUGGAACCUUGAAGAACAAUUUCAGAGAGAUUAGUACACUGGCACACAAGUUAAUGUCUGGAAACUACAAAAAUGCUUCUUUUUUGCCCCUAAUUUCUAAACUGUUGGUACCAUCACCCCAAAAAUCAACCCAACCUUCCUUUUUGGUAUUAAACCUUGUGUAAAAUUUCAUGGAUAUCCAUUCGCUUAAACUAUAUAAUUAUCCGGAAACCAUAUGUGUCGACAUACAUCGCUAACAACAACAUCAUACCAUAAUAUGACUCAAUUUUAUUCUUCGAAC